AUUUUUCUUCUUCUUUUUUU
rnacentral:sRNA from 1 species